AUGCUUAAUGAUAGAAUAAACACAAGUGAUCUCUUAACUCGAAAGAGCAUGCAACUUGAUUCCACUACAUGUGUGUUAUGUAAUGCAGAAGAUAUGGAAGACAGAACUCACCUCCUUUUCACUUGCCCAUUCAGUCAAGGUUUUUGGUGGAAUAUUGGUUUUGAAUGGAAUUCUGACUUGGAUAUUCACAAUAUGAUCAUGGAUGCCAAUCACAGAUACAAAAUCAAACAUUUCAUGGAAAUUAUGAUAGUGGGGUGCUGGAGCAUUUGGAAUCAAAGAAAUGGGAUGAUAUUUGAUGGGAUACCUUGCUCAAUCAAUGAAUGCAAGUAUGAUUUUAUCAGAUCUUUCAAGAUUACCAUGAUGAGAGCUAAACCAUCUCUGAAAGAUGGCAUGUCAUCCUGGAUUGACAAUAUUUAA
rnacentral:rRNA from 1 species